rnacentral:misc_RNA from 1 species
CCGAGUUAUCUAAACUCCCAAACCCUUUGUGAACCUUACCACUGUUGCCUCGGCGCGAGCCGCGCUACCCUGGAGCUACCCCAAAGCCGCCUACCCUGUAGACGGCUACCCUGGAGAGCCACCUGGUAGCGCGCUAUUGGCUCCGCCGGUGGACCCACCAAACUCUAUUUUAACUACUGUAUCUCUGAAUGCUUCAACUGAAAUCAGUUAA